GGUAGGUCACGGGAGUCGGGCCUCUGGAGGGCCUACCCUGUCCCUACCCCCUUUCUCUCUGCAUUUCGUGCUCUCUGCUUUCUGGUUGCUGUGCUGUUUCUGCCACAUCACAGGCCUAAAAGUAAUGGAGUCACUAACUGUGAUCUGAAAUCUCUGAAACCAUAACUCCCUUUCACCGGGACUUUUUAAGAUCACAUUAAAACCCACUUUUGGAGCUUGGUUAUGGUGGACUAGACAUAAACAGCAUAAACAGGCUGCUCCAGGAGACUAAAUUAAAUCAACAGAGAUAAGCAAUUUCUCCAAAAUUCUUCCUGCUGAGCACAUAACCAACAUCUCCUCUUCUGAGCCCAGAUGAGGCGACAGAAUAUGCUGAUGCCAGCCCCAGGAGGCUGGAGCCCAGUUUCCUUUCCAUAGGAAAAGAGAUGAAGGGCCAGGGAUUUAGCUCAGUUGUUCCACUGCCUGCUUCUCAAAUGCAAGGUCCUGAGUUUGAUCCUUGGUACUCUCCCCCAAAAAAGAGAUGAUGAGUUGAAGAUGGCUGGAAGCAUUAAAGCAGGUGGGAAAGGCUGUCCCCAGCUGUCCGCAGUUUUUCAUGGCACGGCUGAGACUAUGGUAUGAAGAUAUGACUUUGACAUCUUGAAGGAUCAGGGAUGAAGGCAAGUGAGUACAGCAUAAAGUCACUUACUGGAGCUGCUGCUGAGCUGUUCUCAGAGUCCACAGGCCCAGGACCGUCCUCUGUGCCCCUUUCCUGGCUGGCAGUCUCUGUAGCUCCAGCUGGUCUAGGCAGGGCCGACAUGGGCGAUCACUCCUCAGCUCUGUGAUUCUCCAGCCACCUCUGCACCUUGGAAGACAGAAGCAUCUGACUUCAGAUCCCCAGAGAGAACAGGUUUCCACCCAUGUCCACACCACAUCUAACACAAGAACAAGAUUUACCUCCUUUCACGAUGAGUGAUAUGGAAAUAUCUACUCCUUUCAGGUAUGCAGUCAGCACUGAGAACCCAACAAGAUGAUCUCAAUAGUUAGACAGUACAUUUCCCCAAAG
rnacentral:lncRNA from 1 species